rnacentral:rRNA from 1 species
UGAGUAACACGUGGGCAAUCUGCCCUGCACUUCGGGAUAAGCCUGGGAAACUGGGUCUAAUACCGGAUAGGACCUUUAGACGCAUGUCUUUUGGUGGAAAGCUUUUGCGGUGUGGGAUGGGCCCGCGGCCUAUCAGCUUGUUGGUGGGGUGAUGGCCUACCAAGGCGACGACGGGUAGCCGGCCUGAGAGGGUGUCCGGCCACACUGGGACUGAGAUACGGCCCAGACUCCUACGGGAGGCAGCAGUGGGGAAUAUUGCACAAUGGGCGCAAGCCUGAUGCAGCGACGCCGCGUGGGGGAUGACGGCCUUCGGGUUGUAAACCUCUUUCACCAUCGACGAAGGUCCGGGUUUUCUCGGAUUGACGGUAGGUGGAGAAGAAGCACCGGCCAACUACGUGCCAGCAGCCGCGGUAAUACGUAGGGUGCGAGCGUUGUCCGGAAUUACUGGGCGUAAAGAGCUCGUAGGUGGUUUGUCGCGUUGUUCGUGAAAUCUCACGGCUUAACUGUGAGCGUGCGGGCGAUACGGGCAGACUAGAGUACUGCAGGGGAGACUGGAAUUCCUGGUGUAGCGGUGGAAUGCGCAGAUAUCAGGAGGAACACCGGUGGCGAAGGCGGGUCUCUGGGCAGUAACUGACGCUGAGGAGCGAAAGCGUGGGGGAGCGAACAGGAUUAGAUACCCUGGUAGUCCACGCCCGUAAACGGUGGGUACUAAGGUGUGGGGUUUCCUUCCUUGGGAUCCGUGCCGUAGCUAACGCAUUUAAGUACCCCCGCCUGGGGGAGUACGGCCGCAAGGCUAAAACUCAAAGGAAUUUGACGGGGGGCCCGCACAA